UCGCCCACUAACGGCCAUCCUAGACUGGGCCGGCAUGCCUCUGGAUCCCCCUCUCCACUCGUACAGAGAGAGUCAAGGAGAAGCCCAGUGGACCAUCUCCCCAAAACACUGCAUUCCACUCCAUUGCCUUCUAAACUCCUCCCUGUUGAUGACGAACCCAGUCUGACCAAUGGAGACGGGGGUUGUCUAGAGAGCUGUGACCUGGACCUGACUACAGAGGACCUGGCUCACG